AACGUACGAGACGAGCGUUAUCCGGAUUUACUGGGCGUAAAGCGCGUGCAGGCGGUUUAAUAUGUUACUUGUGGAAGCGCCCGGCUCAACCGGGCGAGGCCGUGUGAGACUGUUAAACUGGAGAGAGGUAGAGGCGAAUGGAAUUCCGGGUGGAGUGGUGAAAUGCGUAGAGAUCCGGAGGAACACCAGUGGCGAAGGCGAUUCGCUGGGCCUACUCUGACGCUCAGACGCGACAGCAUGGGGAGCGAACGGG
rnacentral:rRNA from 1 species